GGCACUUUGGCGGAGUGGUUAACGCGAUGGCCUGCUAUGCCCUCGGUAUAUCAGCCCAGCCAUUCCCUUCGGGGGCGUGAGUUCGAAUCUCACAGGUGUCG
rfam:Aspergillus oryzae RIB40 DNA, chromosome 4.